GUUGAUGACCUGAAAGCUGCCAGGUUCGAAUCCCACCCGGGGAGAGUGCGGAUGAGCUCCCUCUAUCAGCUUCAGCUCCAUGCGGGGACAUUAGAGAAGCCUCCCACAAGGAUGGUAAAACAUCAAAAACAUCCGGGCGUCCCCUGGGCAACGUCCUUGCAGACGGCCAAUUCUCUCACUCCAGAAGCAACUCCGGUUGCUCCUGACACGAAAAAAAAAAGCUGGAAUCAUAGCCUUGCAAGAGUCAGCGUGGGCCGUCCAGUCAAAGCCGCCAAGGAAAGAACCCCACUGUUGAACUGCUCUUACAUAGACUCAGCGGACUCACAUAGACUCACAUGGACCAUCCAAUCCAACCCCCUGCUGUGCAGAAAAGAAAACAAUCAAAGCACCCCAGCAGAUGGCCACCCAGCCUAUGUUUCAAAGCCUCCAAGGAAGGAGCUUCAACCACACUCCCAGGCAGAGAGUUCCACUGGUGAACAGUUCUUACAUAGAAUCAUAGAGCUGGAAGAGACCACAUGGGCCAUCCAGUCCAACAAAGCACCCCAGCAGAUGGCCACCCAGCCUAUGUUUCAAAGCCUCCAAGGAAGAUGUUCCACCACACUCCCUGGCAGAGAAUUCCACUGGUGAACAGUUCUUACAUAGAAUCAUAGUUUUGAAGAGACUACAUGGGCCAUCCAGUUCAACCCCCUACUGUGCAGGAAAGAAAGUAAUCAAAGCACCCUAGCAGAUGGCCACCCAGCCUGUGUUUCGAAGCCUCCAAAGAAGAUCUUCCACCACACUCCCUGGCAGAAAGUUCCACUGGUGAACAGUUCUUACAUAGAAUCAUAGAGCUGGAAGAGACCACAUGGGCCAUCCAGUCCAACCCCCUGCUGUGCAGGAAAGGAAACAAUCAAAACACCCUAGCAGAUGACCACCCAGCCUGCGUUUCAAAGCCUCCAAGGAAGAUCUUCCACUACACUCCCAGGCAGAGAGUUCCACUGGUGAACAGUUCUUACAUAGAAUCAUAGAGCUGGAAGAGACUACAUGGGCCAUCCAUUCCAACCCCCUGCUGCGCAGGAAAGAAAACAAUCAAAGCACCCCAGCAGAUGGCCACCCAGCCUGUGUUUCAAAGCUUCCAAAGAAGAUCUUCCACCACACUCCCUGGCAGAAAGUUCCACUGGUGAACAGUUCUUACAUAGAAUCAUAGAGUUGGAAGAGACCACAUGGGCCAUCCAGUCCAACCCCCUGCUGUGCAGGAAAGAAAACAAUCAAAGCACCCCAGCAGAUGGCCACCCAGCCUGUGUUUCACAGCUUCCAAAGAUCUUCCACCACACUCCCUGGCAGAGAGUUCCACUGGUGAAUAGUUCUUGCAUAGAAUCAUAGAGAUGGAAGAGACUACAUGGGCCAUCCAGUCCAACCCCCUGCUGCGCAGAAAAGAAAACAAUCAAAACACCCCAGCAGAUGGCCACCAACCUGUGUUUCAAAACCUCCAAGGAAGAUCUAGGAUCAUAGAAUAAUAUAACACUGAAUGAAACAUGUAGAAUAAUCACAGGAUGUCUUAAAUCUACACCUAUUGAUAGACUUUAUAAACUAGCUGGCAUUGCCCGUACUGAUGUCUGACGGGAAGUUGCUGCCAUAAGGUCGAACACUGUGAAAGUAUGGCUAUCAGCCUCCUUCUAGUAGACUUAAAUCAAGGAAACUUUUCAUGAGAACCUCCAGGCCUUUUAAUGUUCCUUCAGCAACAGAAAGAAUAUCCCUGUGGGCAGAAAAAUCAGGCAAUUUCAACUGGAUGGCCCAUCACGCAAACCAAGAAUAGGCAACUUGGAAGUCCCUGAACAGACUCAGAAGCGGUGUUGGGUGAUCAAAAGACAAUCUGGCUAAAUGAAACUACCUAGAAGAAUCCUCCACUUUGUGUGAUUGUGGAGCAGAACAAACAACUCAGCAUCCGUAUGCUUUCCCACAAUGCCCUGCCUCAUGCACAUAGGAAGAGCUGUUUAAAGCUACAGACAAUGCGGUUGCUGUUGCCCGUUUUUGGUCUAAAAUUAUUCAGCUGCUCAUGCUCCCUUUAAUUGUAUCAGUUUUAUACUUAUUUAUUUAUGCAAUGCUUUUGACACUAAAUAAAUAAAUAGAAUAAUAGAGUUUGAAGAGAACACAUGGGCCAUCCAGGCCAACCCCCUGCCAUGCAGGAAAGGACACAAUCAAAGCACCCUGACAGAUAGCCAUCCAACAUCUGUUUCAAAGCAUCCACUACAAUCCCAGGCAGAGAGUUCCACUACUGAACAGCUUUUAAAUAAAUUAAUAGGAUAAUAGAGUUAUGGGCCAUCCAGUCUGACUUCCAGCCCUGCAGGAAAGGAAAAAACCAAAGCACCCGCAGCAGAUGAUUAUCCAACCUCUGUUUCCACUGCACUCAGCGGUAGAGAGUUCCACAGUUGCACAUACAAUCAUAGGAUAAUAGAGUUGGAAGAGACCACAUGGGCUGUCCAAUCCAAGCACCUCGUGUGCAAGAAAAGAAACAAAGCACUGACAGAUGGCCAUCCAGCCUCAGUUUCUAAGCUUCCAUCACACUCCCAGGCAGAGAGUUCCACUGCUGAACAGCUCUUAUAUAGAAUCAUAGGAUAAAAGAGUGGAAAGGACUUUAACCUUUAAGAUUGGUUUGAGGCCAUUGUUCGAAUCCCCGCUCAGCCCAUGGCAACCCACUGGUGAAGUUUGGAGCAAGUUACACAUUCUCGACCUCAGAGGAAAGCAUUGUGUACCUCUCAUCACACACAACAACAACAGCAAUAGCAGCAGCAUGUUUCAAAAUUUGGAAAAAUCUGUUCCUGGUUUGAACGUGUUGUUCCCUGUUUAGUUAUGUGGUACUGACUGUGAAAGGUGUUAUCUACUCUAGAAACUUUGCUUUUCUGGCUGCCACAAACUAUGCUGAAUUGGUUGAGACUAAAUGAGAUAUUUCUUGAAAAACUAUAGCAAGAUGUGCUGCAGGAUCUACAGCAAAAACAAAGUUUUGACACACUGUGUGAAUUAGUUCACACAAACAUUCUCCAUCCAUCUGCCACUAUCUCAGCCAAUGCCUGAUAUAUAUAUACAUUAUAUAUAAAUAUAAUAAAAGUCAAUGUGUGUAUCUAUGUGGUGGGGUACAUAUGUAUGCAACAAUCUCUUUUUCUGGCCGGGACUCCGACUUCCAUAGACCAUUGCAAUCCCCACCGAUGAUGGAUCUGGACCAAACUUGGCACACAAACCCCUCAUGGCCCACUUUACAUCCUGGUGCAGAUUGGGGUCGGAUGGGCCAUGCAUGGUGGAAUUUGCAGUAGUUUCUCCCACUUCAGCUCCAACUUCCAUAGACCACUACGAACCCCAUGAAUGAAGGACCUGGAGCAAACUUGCCACACAGACUGUCCCCUCAUGACUCACUUUACAUCCUGGUGCGAUUUGGGGAAGGAUGGACCAUGGGUGAUAGGAUUUGCAGUCCCUUCACCUGCUUCCACAGACCACUGGACCCUCAAGAACGGUGAAUCUGGAACAAACUUGGGACACAGACCCCCAUGACCCACUUUAUAACCUGGUGAGGUUUGGAAGAGGAAGGGCCACAGAUGUCAGAAUCUGCAAUCGCUUAACUGAUUUCCACAGACCACUCCAACCUCCUCAAAUAAUGGACCUGGAACAAUCUUGGAACCCAGACCACCCCCCCCACCUGACCCACUUUACAUCUUGGGGAGGAUGGACCACGGAAAAUGGGAUUUGCAAUACCAAUUCAGAAACUACUGCUAACCCCAUUAGCUAUGGAUCUGGACUAAACCUAGGAUACAGACUCCCCUAUGACUCACUUUAUGUCCUGGUAGGAUUUGAGGGAGGAUGGACCAUGGAUGAUGGGAUUUGCAGUACUUACCCCUACAUCCAGAGACUACUUCAAACACCAUCACCCAUGGAUAUUGACCAACUUCUAGUGGGUCCAUUCAUAACAUCCAAAAACAAGCAAUGCCUUUUCCAAAUAACCCGGGCAUUGCCAGGUACCCAAGCUAGAAUAGAACAGAACAGAAUAGAAUACAUAAACAUUUAUUAGGGCUCUGUGGCUUAAAAAGUUUGAGAACCCCUGGCAUGGUCAGUGGGGAAGAACAGAGUUGUUGUCCAAAAACACUUGGAAGGUCACAUUAUCCUAAAUUAAGCUGCAACUUUAAUUAUUAUUUCUGACCCCCUUUUCCUUUUUAAUCUUAAUCCAUCUUUUCACUUACAUGUAGUGGGCCUUUGGUAGACAGUGGGGUUUAGCUGCAGGAUUGUACCCCCAGAUUCCAAAAUCCAUAAAUGCUCAAGUUUCAUUAUAUACAGGCAGUCCUUGAGUUACAAGCAUCCGACUUAAGAACAGGUGAGACAACAGGAAGUAGCAUGGGGCGGAUAACCUUUGUAUUGUAUUUGUAUUUGUUUGUAUUGUAGUAGGAAGACUCAGAUUUGUUUAGUGGCAUUGGCAAAGAACCAAUACUUGAGAUUCAGCACAGAACAUAAAAUGUGCUCCUCUAUUAUUUUUUAAUUAAUGUCUUGGACUUGGACUUGGUAUCUACGUAUAUUUCUGCUGCCAUAGAAAGUCCAGCUGAUAUGUGUGAAUAAUGAAUAUCAAAUUAUGCCGAGAUGCCCUUAUUCUGCAAGUGAUUGGGCCCUUGUUUUGAACUCUUUUACAUCUGCUAUACACAGGGGUUAAAAUAAUAAUAAAAAGAACCUGUCAUACUUA